rnacentral:piRNA from 1 species
UCUGUUGGAGAUUGAGCCCAUGGCUGC